CUCUUCUUGAUUUUAUAUGAAGUAUAACCUGCCCAAUGAAUAAAUUUAAUGGCCGCGGUAUAUUGACCGUGCAAAGGUAGCAUAAUCAUUAGUCUUUUAAUUGGGGGCUGGAAUGAAUGGUUGGACGAGAUAAAUUCUGUCUUUAUCUAAUUUAUUUAGAAUUUAAUUAUUAAGUUAAAAAGCUUAAAUUUUUUUAUGGGACGAGAAGACCCUAUAGAGUUUAUAUAAAUUUUUAUUAAGUUUUGGUUUGUUAAAAUAUUAUUUUAUAAAUUUAUUUUGUUGGGGUGAUGGAAAGAUAAUUGUAGCUCUUUCUUUAUAUAAUUAAUAAUUAUUAUUUAUUUGAUCCAUUAUUAAUGAUUAUAAGACUAAAUUACCUUAGGGAUAACAGCGUAAUCUUUUUUGAGAGUUCUUAUCGACAAAAAGGGUUGCGA
rnacentral:rRNA from 1 species